rnacentral:rRNA from 1 species
GACGAACGCGGACAGAAUGCUUAACACAUGCAAGUCAACUUGCGGCGGACGCGUGAGUACCGCGUACAGUACUUGCCUCACGGAUAGGGACCACCUUUGGAAACUAAUCCUAAUACCUGAUACUGUGGGAGAGCUUUGCGUCCCAUUAGCUAGUUGGAGAGGUAACGGCUCUCCAAGGCGAUGAUGGGUAGCCGGCCUGAGAGGGUGAUCGGCCACAAGGGGAGUGAGACACGGCCAUGACUACUACGGGAGGAAGGACUGGGGAUUAUUGCACGAUGGAGCAAAGUCUGAUCCAGCCAUUCUGUGGGACCGAUAAAGUUUUCGGAAUGUAAAGUGGCUUCAGUCGGGAAGCGGUAACCAAAGACGAAGUGACGGCUAAAUACGUGCCAGCAGCCGCGGUAAUAC